GUCCUGCAUGUCUAGUAUAAGCAAUUAUACAGCGAAACUGCGAAUGGCUCAUUAUAUAAGUUAUCGUUUAUUUGAUAGUACCUUACUACUUGGAUAACCGUGGUAAUUCUAGAGCUAAUACAUGCUAAAAAUCCCGACUUUGGAAGGGAUGUAUUUAUUAGAUUAAAAACCAAUGCCCUCUGGGCUCCUUGGUGAUUCAUGAUAACUCUCGAAUCGCACGGCCUUGCGCCGGCGAUGGUUCAUUCAAAUUUCUUCCCUAUCAACUUUCGAUGUUUGGGUAGUGGCCAAACAUGGUUGCAACGGGUAACGGAGGGUUAGGGCUCGACCCCGGAGAAGGAGCCUGAGAAACGGCUACUACAUCCAAGGAAGGCAGCAGGCGCGCAAAUUACCCAAUCCCGACACGGGGAGGUAGUGACAAUAAAUACUGAUACAGGGCUCUUUUGGGUCUUGUAAUUGGAAUGAGAACAACUUAAAUCCCUUAACGAGGAACAAUUGGAGGGCAAGUCUGGUGCCAGCAGCCGCGGUAAUUCCAGCUCCAAUAGCGUAUAUUAAAGUUGUUGUGGUUAAAAAGCUCGUAGUUGAACCUUGGGCCUGGCUGGCCGGUCCGCCUCACCGCGUGCACUGGUCCGGCCGGGCCUUUCCCUCUAUGGAACCCCAUGCCCUUCACUGGGUGUGGCGGGGAAAUAGGACUUUUACUUUGAAAAAAUUAGAGUGCUCCAGGCAGGCCUAUGCUCGAAUACAUUAGCAUGGAAUAAUAGAAUAGGACGCGUGGUUCUAUUUUGUUGGUUUCUAGGACCGCCGUAAUGAUUAAUAGGGACAGUCGGGGGCAUCAGUAUUCAAUUGUCAGAGGUGAAAUUCUUGGAUUUAUUGAAGACUAACUACUGCGAAAGCAUUUGCCAAGGAUGUUUUCAUUAAUCAGGAACGAAAGUUAGGGGAUCGAAGACGAUCAGAUACCGUCGUAGUCUUAACCAUAAACUAUGCCGACUAGGGAUCGGACGAUGUUACUUAUUGACUCGUUCGGCACCUUACGAGAAAUCAAAGUGCUUGGGCUCCAGGGGGAGUAUGGUCGCAAGGCUGAAACUUAAAGAAAUUGACGGAAGGGCACCACCAGGGGUGGAGCCUGCGGCUUAAUUUGACUCAACACGGGGAAACUCACCAGGUCCAGACACAAUGAGGAUUGACAGAUUGAGAGCUCUUUCUUGAUUUUGUGGGUGGUGGUGCAUGGCCGUUCUUAGUUGGUGGAGUGAUUUGUCUGCUUAAUUGCGAUAACGAACGAGACCUUAACCUGCUAAAUAGCCCGUAUUGCUUUGGCAGUACGCUGGCUUCUUAGAGGGACUAUCGCUCAAGCCGAUGAAGUU
rnacentral:rRNA from 1 species